CUGACCUAUACAAGUAUGAGGUGGUGGAGGUUUAUUUCCUGAACGCCGACAACCAGUAUGUUGAGGUCGAAGUUGGUCCGUACGGACAGCACUGGGUGCUGCUGCUGUGGACACAAAAUGAUUUAUAUGACCAGCGGCGUCACUCCCUGCCACUGGACGUUACCACCAACAUCACGCAGGACCGCUGGAGCGCCACCGCCAGAAUACCUGUUGAUUACCUCCCACC